AAUUGUCUUCUUGACUCUGAAGCUCACACUCUAUCCAUUAUUCCUUGCUUUUCUUUUAUAAAGUAAGGAGCAUUGGAUAUCCCAAGCAAUGAUCACAGAAUCUACAUGUGCUAACAACUGGAUCAAGCUAAAACACUGCUUCACCUCCUUAAGCUGUGAUCUCAUUAGAGCUUAGAAGCAGAAGAGCACAGAGCACAGAUAUGACCAACCAGUCCUCUUAACUUGUCAAGUUUACCUUUUGAUGGAGAGACCCAGUCCAUAUCCCAGCCACUAGCAUCUGCAGCACAAUGAUCCAAGACAAGUACAAAGGACUCAUGAAGGAAAAUACUAUCCACACCCAGGUAAAGAGCUGAUGGACUGAAUGUACAUGAAAGCAUUUUUUUUCACUUACUUUAUUCUUUCUCCUUUUGCUGUUUUUCUCUCACAAUUGUGACAAAUAUGGAAAUAUUUUCCAUGAUAGCACAUGUACAAACCACA